UAAAAUCCAUUCUCCAAUGCGAGCCGAUCCAGAUCGUGUUGUGAAGUGGUUACCCAGCCGCAGCACAAUCAUUGCUGCCCGAAUUGCAUCAGAGAAGUUGCUCAGGAGAGUCGGAGCUGGAUCGACCAAUCUUUUGGCUACAUGUUCCAUAAUCAAGAAGCAACAGAAAGGAAAUGAUGUGGACAUGUCAAACCUUAGAAAAGCAGCUGUUGAACAUCGGAAAUAUGUAAAAGGCACUACAAUGUAUCCUUUGGAGCACAAUCCAGGACAUGGCCAACUCUGCACAGUUCCCAACAAGUUGAUAGUCAGAAAACUAAAUUAACACGAAUUCAUUACACCAAACUUCAGGGUCAUGCUGUGAAAAAGCCCUGCGUUCUUUGGGAAGAUGGUCUGCCAACUUUUUCUUUUGGUGCACUUGUUGACCAUUCCCCACUGUCUUGAGAAUUUGCGUGCUUGCUACCUGAAUGUUUUGCUCAAAGUUGGUUACAAGUAUUGUUGACAAGGCCUUCUCGCGUCCAAGGUUAAGGUGGCUCGCUCUUCUCUUACCAAAAUUAUACAGCAGAGUUCUCUUUAUAUUCAUGUAUUCUUUUGGCGGCUUGUAUGGGACCAGGAUGACUCUCUUUCAGUUAGUUUAGCCUUUUAAAAUGUAAUGAGCAACCGGCUCUUUUCUCGUGGUGUUGGUUUUAAUAUAUGAAAUGAAGAA
rnacentral:misc_RNA from 1 species